GUGACGGGCAGAGGAGCCGCCGCCGCGUCCCGGGGCAGCAGUGGUGCGGCAAGAGAGCACUGAGAUACGGUCCCAGGGAUGGUACCGGGUGUCAAACCCGGACCGGCCGGCGGGACGGUCCGGAAGGCGGCGGGUCGGCCGGCAGGAGAGCCGCUGCGGCGCGGGGGGGUCCGAGCCCUUCGUUACCAACCUGUGCUUCCCUGACGCAGGACGGGUGAGAAAUGAAGCAAAUCUCGGUAAACUCCCUUCCACGUGUAUCGGGAAGGAAAAGGGAGGAACCUACCAAACGACUUUGAAAGGGCUCUUAGAGGACACAGAGAUCUUUAAAGCUAAGAGAGCGCCUGCUGAGACGGAGCACGCCCCUGCCCACGGACAUACGGACCCGCACGCCCCCCCGCCCACGCUCCCAGCCUCUGGCCGCAGCGCCGCAUCCUCCCUGCAGACAGACACCGUUUCUUAACGCCCAGCCCUGCCCAAACGCCAGCUCACGCCUUGCUGCUCCAAGCUCACGCGGAAUCCCAGCCCGCGACGGAAUCCAGCCCGACGCCUGCAACUUUUAAUGAGAUGUCCCGGACACCAGCAGCCGGAGCCAGACGCUGGUAAGGGCUAAGCGGUGCCUGACGGGACGCGAGAGCUUUUUGGGGCUCAGAGGGACAAGGACCGGCUCCGAGCACCGCUCCCCUCACAGCCGCAGCCAGCCCCUGCACAGCACCCCCCCGCCAGCCCCCAGCCCACCUCCGGCGCGCAGCGGGGGCGGAACAGGUUGAAGAAAGCAGCUAUUUCGGGCUCUCGCAGGCAGGAGCCCGGCAGCGCGCCCCCUCCCCACCCCCACCCCCCAAACUGGCCACGUUUCAUAGUGCAAAAUUCAGGAACGGAACGACGCUGCUGGCAUCGGGGCGCCCGAAUACCACCCGCCCGCCGGGACCCCCGGCCACGUCCCGCGGCGGGGCUGGGACCCCUCGCGCCUCUGGCCCCACCCCGCUCCCCGGCCUCUCCUCCCAGGGAGGGCAGCCCCCGCGUUUUAUCCGGCUCAGACUAACUCGACUGGUGACUCCGUCCACGUCCUUCACCGGAGGCAGAGCUUGGAAGGGCUCACUCCCGGGUCGAGGAAGCUGGCGGCGGGCCUGCGGACAGACGGACGGUGCCGGCCGGGGCGGGCAGAGCAGCACGCGUGGACCGCAGCACCUCGGGGCUCCGAGAACCGACAACGACCCCUGGAAACUAAGUGCAGAGCACCAAAGAAACGGCAGUUUUGGUCAAGCCGUGAGGAAUUCGCUCCCUACGGCCUCAGGAAAAGCAAGGACAGGAGGAAGGGCCAGGCGCGCGAGGCAGCAGCCGCCCACCCUCCGCAGCUGAAGGAGAAACCCCAGCGGGACCGAGAGCUUCGGGCCGCGCAGCGCGAGACGCUCGGACCCUGGACCUCGGAAACAUCACACCCACGGUCACGCGCCGUGGCUCAGCUAGAGCUCGGACAACGCCCAGACACACGGACCCGCACACGAACCGCUUGCACGCACACGCACGCCAGGACACCGAGACACAGAAGAGGAAGAGUCGUUUAUACCUGACUGGUGAUGAGGUCUGUCCUAUCUUAUUCAAAGAAAUGUUUAUGUGCAUAAUAUACAGAGGUGCAGCAUUUACACAUAGGAUAUUGUAAAGACACAGAGCUUGCUACAGAUGCCUUCGAGUCCUUCGAGACGCAUCCCCCUUCCCCACCCUGCCCCUCGGGGGCUCUGACUCCGUCCCGUUCCAGCCUCAACGCCGUGACUCUGAGGGUUUCAGUUUAACUAGAGGGCCACCGCUCCCCCUCCACGAGCUCCCGGCAGGUCCCUCGCCUCGUGCAUACGUUACCCUCCGCCUCCCCGCUCCGAAGCUCCCGCCGACGCUUCGGCCGAGUCUCGGCUUUGUUGGUUUUUUUUUUUGUUGGUUUUUUUUUUUUUUUUUCCUCCUUUCAAACACACCCAGCACUGCUGAGCCCAGAAAAAUUCAGCCAGGAGAAGAGGUUUGAACAGCUCCUCGCGUCCUUGGAGAAAAACAAAGAAACAAAGAAAAGGCGGAAAGAAAAAGAAAAAAAAAAAAAGAACAAACAACCCCCAAAGCAAAGAAUCCGCGUGUCCGUGCCAGUAUCUCGAAUGGAAGGGGUUGGUUUUUCCUUUGGUUUCUUACUGAAGGCAAAGGUGAGCGCGGGCUGACGGUCUGCACGGGCCCGACCCCGACAUUCCCCCCGUUUGUGGUCCCUGUGGCAGGCGGGGGCACGCGGGGACCCUCGGGCUGGAGCUGGGAGGGAGCGGGGGCAGCUCCCCGGGCCCGUCCCCUCGCCCCACCAAACAACAGAAUAAAAUCAAAGAAAAAGA